AUUUAAAUAGCUUAUAAAUAGAGUAUAACAUUGAAGUUGUUAGGGAAAUUAAUUUAAUUUUUAAAUA
rnacentral:tRNA from 1 species